CUGAAGACCUAACCCAUAAUAGAUUUUUCCUUAAAGGUCUCCUAGUUAGUGAGCAAGCAAACAAGAAUUUCCUGUUCUUUUUCAAAUAUUAUUAGUUCAAGUGCGGUUGCCGCUUGCCAAUUUGCUUAGCAAGUACAGUCACUUGGCAAUUGGCAUUGUCUCCAGAGACUUGGUAUUGGGUCCUGCUUAUGCACGGGAUGAGAGAGGCCAAGGGAGGGACAGGUCUACCUCCUGUUGGCUAACUCAUCCUUUAGGAGGGAAAAAAAAAGAAACUUCGAGAAAAUAAAACCAGUAAAAUAACUAUUAUUUUGAAGCCAUAUAUGGACAGUGGAAUUCUGUAAGUUUCAUAAUUACAUUCAGAAGGCCAAUUUUAACAAUAACCCUACAAUUUCUCAAGCACAAGGAGCUGAGACACUCCUUUCUCCAGUGGUGGAGAAGUCAAACUCCAACACCAUUUUCGAGACAAUAGAUCUCGAAUACUUUAUUGUUAGUUAUUUUAAUAUUUUGCUUUAUCAUGCUUUCCCAUGCAAAAUUGGAGAUUUUAGUUUUAAAUAAGCAAUGGCUAGAUUGAGUUAAAAUCAAGAACUGAAAAAACCAACCAAAUAAACGCCUAAAAAAUAAUAAUAAAUCUGAGAAACACAUGAAAGAAAAAGACUAAUAUCAUUCAUUACUUCUUUGUGGAACCACUUCAGUA
rnacentral:misc_RNA from 1 species